rnacentral:lncRNA from 1 species
AUGUGAAAAGGGAAGGUGGAAACUAAGAAACAGACUCAGAGAUGGGGUAAAGACGGCAGGCAGCGGAGACAGCUUCGUAGUACAGGGCCUCUAAGGAGUAAGAUACUCUGCCUGGAGACUUGUCACAGUGCUCCACGGUGGGACCAGCCACGUGCGGAGCAAGGCGGAACUUUUUUAUUUUUAAGGUCUUAAUUUUAUUUUACUUUAUUUUAUUUAUGUAGAAAAACUAGCAUGAACCACUGGCAGCACGCUCAGCUUGGAUUUCCGGAUCAGACCGGGGCGGUUAGAGCAAGAACCCUGGCCGAAUUUCUGUCGGCGACUUCAGUAGAACUGCUGGUGGCCCAUCCUGCCUUCCGACUGCCAAUGAGGAAAAAGGAGUGAGCUAGCGCAUGCAUAUGCUCUUCCCAAAACACGCCGAGGAUACUGACAAUAAAGAAACAAAAGCGGAAGCAUAAAGGAUGAAAAAGAACUCCGAAGACAUAGUCGUUUAAAGUUAAUAAUGUAGGGGCCAGUGAGAUGGCCCAGCAGGCAAGGGUGUUUGCUGCCAAAUCUGACUUUGCUCGUUCAGUCCCCAGAUCACAUCCCACGUGGGGGAAAGAGAGAACCAACGGACUCCUACCAGUGUGGUCUUCGACCUCCACACUCCUGCUACGGGGAUGUGCAUGUUCACAUGUGUGCUAAAUAAAUGAAUGUGUAUAUGUCAGUUCCAAAAGC